AACGAACGCUGGCGGCAGGCCUAACACAUGCAAGUCGAGCGCCCAGCAAUGGGAGCGGCAGACGGGUGAGUAACACGUGGGAACCUUCCCUAUAGUACGGAAUAGCCCAGGGAAACUUGGAGUAAUACCGCAUACGCCCGAGAGGGGAAAGAUUUAUCGCUAUAGGAUGGGCCCGCGUAGGAUUAGCUAGUUGGUGAGGUAAUGGCUCACCAAGGCGACGAUCCUUAGCUGGUCUGAGAGGACGACCAGCCACACUGGGACUGAGACACGGCCCAGACUCCUACGGGAGGCAGCAGUGGGGAAUUUUGGACAAUGGGGGAAACCCUGAUCCAGCCAUGCCGCGUGAGUGAAGAAGGCCUUCGGGUUGUAAAGCUCUUUCGGACGGAACGAAAUUGCUUGGACUAAUACUCUGAGUAGAUGACGGUACCGUAAGAAGAAGCACCGGCUAACUACGUGCCAGCAGCCGCGGUAAU
rnacentral:rRNA from 1 species